rnacentral:rRNA from 1 species
CCUACGGGUGGCAGCAGUGGGGAAUAUUGGACAAUGGGGGGAACCCUGAUCCAGCCAUGCCGCGUGUGUGAAGAAGGCCCUCGGGUUGUAAAGCACUUUCAGUGAGGAAGAACGCCUGGUGGUUAAUACCCAUCAGGAAAGACAUCACUCACAGAAGAAGCACCGGCUAACUCCGUGCCAGCAGCCGCGGUAAUACGGAGGGUGCGAGCGUUAAUCGGAAUUACUGGGCGUAAAGUGCGCGUAGGUGGCUUGAUAAGCCGGUUGUGAAAGCCCCGGGCUCAACCUGGGAACGGCAUCCGGAACUGUCAAGCUAGAGUGCAGGAGAGGAAGGUAGAAUUCCCGGUGUAGCGGUGAAAUGCGUAGAGAUCGGGAGGAAUACCAGUGGCGAAGGCGGCCUUCUGGACUGACACUGACACUGAGGUGCGAAAGCGUGGGUAGCAAACAGGAUUAGAUACCCCGGUAGUC